GACGAACGCUGGCGGCGUGCCUAAUACAUGCAAGUAGAACGCUGAAGGAGGAGCUUGCUUCUCUGGAUGAGUUGCGAACGGGUGAGUAACGCGUAGGUAACCUGCCUGGUAGCGGGGGAUAACUAUUGGAAACGAUAGCUAAUACCGCAUAAUAGUAGAUGUUGCAUGACAUUUACUUAAAAGGUGCAAUUGCAUCACUACCAGAUGGACCUGCGUUGUAUUAGCUAGUUGGUGGGGUAACGGCUCACCAAGGCGACGAUACAUAGCCGACCUGAGAGGGUGAUCGGCCACACUGGGACUGACACGGCCCAGACUCCUACGGGAGGCAGCAGUAGGGAAUCUUCGGCAAUGGACGAAAGUCUGACCGAGCAACGCCGCGUGAGUGAAGAAGGUUUUCGGAUCGUAAAGCUCUGUUGUAAGAGAAGAACGAGUGUGAGAGUGGAAAGUUCACACUGUGACGGUAUCUUACCAGAAAGGGACGGCUAACUACGUG
rnacentral:rRNA from 1 species